GCAAGAGCAGGCACAGGAGCCAUGGUUGGGAGAGGUGCUGCACUGCACUGUGCCUCUCCCAACCGCGGCUCCUAUGCCUGCUCUUGC